rnacentral:rRNA from 1 species
AGAGUUUGAUCAUGGCUCAGGAUGAACGCUAGCUACAGGCUUAACACAUGCAAGUCGAGGGGCAGCAUGUUGGUUGCUUGCAACCAAUGAUGGCGACCGGCGCACGGGUGAGUAACGCGUAUCCAACCUACCCUUGUCCAUCGGAUAACCCGUCGAAAGGCGGCCUAACACGAUAUGCGGUUCUCAGCAGGCAUCUAACGAGAACGAAAUGUGAAGGAGAAGGAUGGGGAUGCGUCUGAUUAGCUUGUUGGCGGGGUAACGCCACAGGCGACGAUCAGUAGGGGUUCUGAGAGGAACGGUCCCCCANAUUGGAACUGAGACACGGUCCAAACUCCGUACGGGAGCA